GUUACUAUGAGGCCUAAAUAUUUCACAAGGGAGAAUUUAGAUAUGUACUAUAUUAAAUGAUCUGUAUACAGCAAGUCGGAAUGCAUACACAGUUUUAUAUGUUUUUUUGCUCGACAUUAGAUUUGGAUUUACAUAUUGAAAAGCAGGUCAAUUCGUUUUUAAGUCAUAUUCAUAAGUUAUAACCAACACCUCUCUGUCUAUGUAUACUGAAGCCGUCAAAGAGAAUAAAUACUGUACAUGCAUUUUGUAAACAUAUUUGAUGUAUGUGUGUGUGUGAAUAUACACAAUACCUUAGAUGUAACCAUAAAAAUGCAUUAUAUCUCAGUCUGGACCGUUGACCAAAAAAAAAAAAAAUCUCAGUCUGGACCAUCGGUUUCUCACGAAAAAAAUGAAAAUCUUUUGACCAAUAAUUAUGUAAUUAGUAGUGGGUUAUUUGCCGGUGGGAGUAUCCGAUCAUUAAAUGCUUUUUACCCGGAUUUAUUUGCCGGUACGAAGUUGAAGGGCAGAGUGAAAACUUAAUGGCAAAUGAUGGCUCGAUGAUGCGGUUGGACAGAAGAAGAAACGACAGUGGCUUGUGUCGUUUUUAUUCGGGUAAAAAGAUAAUCAUAUAAAAAAAAGAUAAAUAAAAAUCAUUUGAUAAUGAUGUAAAUGGUUUUUCCCCCGAAGUAAUGUUGUAAGCUGUUUUCUGUAACGUACUGUUAUGUCUGAUGGGACCAUUCUCAUUUACUGUUGGACCCAUUUUAUUAGUAACCAACAGUAAAUACUUUAAGCCAAAUGGACAAAGGGC
rnacentral:lncRNA from 1 species